AUUGAACGCUGGCGGCAUGCCUUACACAUGCAAGUCGAACGGUAACAGGUCUUCGGAUGCUGACGAGUGGCGAACGGGUGAGUAAUACAUCGGAACGUGCCUAGUAGUGGGGGAUAACUACUCGAAAGAGUGGCUAAUACCGCAUGAGAUCUACGGAUGAAAGCAGGGGAUCGCAAGGCCUUGUGCUACUAGAGCGGCCGAUGGCAGAUUAGGUAGUUGGUGGGAUAAAAGCUUACCAAGCCGACGAUCUGUAGCUGGUCUGAGAGGACGAUCAGCCACACUGGGACUGAGACACGGCCCAGACUCCUACGGGAGGCAGCAGUGGGGGAUUUUGGACAAUGGGCGCAAGCCUGAUCCAGCAAUGCCGCGUGCAGGAUGAAGGCCUUCGGGUUGUAAACUGCUUUUGUACGGAACGAAAAGCCCUGGGUUAAUACCCUGGGGUCAUGACGGUACCGUAAGAAUAAGCACCGGCUAACUACGUGCCAGCAGCCGCAGUAAGAC
rnacentral:rRNA from 1 species